AUUGAACGCUGGCGGCAGGCCUAACACAUGCAAGUCGAACGAGUGGCGGACGGGUGAGUAAUGUCUGGGAAACUGCCCGAUGGAGGGGGAUAACUACUGGAAACGGUAGCUAAUAACGCAUACCAUCGGAUGUGCCCAGAUGGGAUUAGCUAGUAGGUGGGGUACCGGCUCACCUAGGCGACGAUCCCUCGCUGGGCUUAGAGGAUGACCAGCCACACUUGAACUGAGACCCGGUCCAGACUCCUACGGGAGGCAGCAGUGGGGAAUAUUGCACAAGGGGCGCAAGCCUGAUGUAGCCAUGCCGCGUGUAUGAAGAAGGCCUUCGGUUUGGAAAGUACUUUCAGCGAGGAGGCGUUACUCGCAGAAGAAGCACCGGCUAACUACGUGCCAGCCGCCGCGGUAAUUC
rnacentral:rRNA from 1 species